CUUCUUGGCAAUUGAGGUUCUCGUACGAUCACCGGAGUUAAGCAACCUCUAGCCUACUCAGUACAUAGAUGGGUGACCGUUUGGGAAUACCAUGUGCUGUAAG